GGGGCUGUGGCUCAGUGGUAGAUCAUCUGUUUGUUAAACAGGAGGUCCCAGGUUCAAUCCCCGGCAUCUCCA